rnacentral:rRNA from 1 species
GCCUACGGGAGGCAGCAGUGAGGAAUAUUGGUCAAUGGCCGAGAGGCUGAACCAGCCAAGUCGCGUGAGGGAUGACGGCCCUACGGGUUGUAAACCUCUUUUGCCGGGGAGCAAAGAGCGGGACGCGUCCCGCCUCGAGAGUACCCGGAGAAAAAGCAUCGGCUAACUCCGUGCCAGCAGCCGCGGUAAUACGGAGGAUGCGAGCGUUAUCCGGAUUUAUUGGGUUUAAAGGGUGCGUAGGCGGAAUAUCAAGUCAGCGGUAAAAAUUCGGGGCUCAACCCCGUCGUGCCGUUGCAACUGAUGUU